rnacentral:rRNA from 1 species
GAUGAACGCUAGCUACAGGCUUAACACAUGCAAGUCGAGGGGAAACGACAUUGAAAGCUUGCUUUUGAUGGGCGUCGACCGGCGCACGGGUGAGUAACGCGUAUCCAACCUGCCCAUCACUUGGGGAUAACCUUGCGAAAGUAAGACUAAUACCCAAUGAUAUCUCUAGAAGACAUCUGAAAGAGAUUAAAGAUUUAUCGGUGAUGGAUGGGGAUGCGUCUGAUUAGCUUGUUGGCGGGGUAACGGCCCACCAAGGCAACGAUCAGUAGGGGUUCUGAGAGGAAGGUCCCCCACAUUGGAACUGAGACACGGUCCAAACUCCUACGGGAGGCAGCAGUGAGGAAUAUUGGUCAAUGGGCGAGAGCCUGAACCAGCCAAGUAGCGUGCAGGAAGACGGCCCUAUGGGUUGUAAACUGCUUUUAUAAGGGAAUAAAGUGAGAGUCGUGACUCUUUUUGUAUGUACCUUAUGAAUAAGGACCGGCUAAUUCCGUG